GUGCCAGCCGCCGCGGUAAUACGUAGGUCACGAACGUUAUUCGGAAUCACUGGGCUUAAAGGGCGCGUAGGCGGCUUAAUAAGUUACGGCUGAAAUCCGGCGGCUCACCCGUCGAACUGGCUGUGAUACUGUUGAGCUUGAGGUGCGGAGGGAUGCGUGGAACUUGUGGUGGAGCGGUGAAAUGCCCAGAUAUCACAGGGAACACCGGUGGCGAAGGCGACGCAUUGGCCGCAAUCUGACGCUGAGGCGCGAAAGCAUGGGGAGCGAACGGGAUUAGAUACCCCAGUAGUCC
rnacentral:rRNA from 1 species